rnacentral:snRNA from 1 species
AUGUCAUGGGAUCUGGUUAUAUCUAAGUUUUGGGGCUAGGCGGUGUCCCCUUCCUCCUUCACUGCUCCAUAUGCGUCCCUUCCUAAGCUGCACGCUCAGUCUAAGAGGAGAGCAAUCCCUGAAUAGAGACGGACCCAUCUUCAGUUGAGGGUAUACAAGUAGCUGCGCUCCCCUGCUAGAACCUCCAAACAAGCUCGCUCUCUCAUAAUGUUUAUUUAUUUAUUUAUUUUUUUGUUUGUUUAUUUAUGAUAGGACAUCAAGAAAUUGAG